UCAGCAGAUAGAAUUUCUGUUCAGUUGCCAUCUCUGAAAGUGAUCUCCGCCCAGGAGGACGACAGAGAUCAAUAUGAUGUUAAAAAUGAUGAAAGUAACAGCUCAUCCAUUAUCUUCGCCGAGUUGACCUCAGAAAAAGAAAAACUCUUAGGAGAGUCUGGCAUUGAAAAUCAGAAUAACAAAUUGGUGAACUAUUCCCCCAAUCUAGUCACAAGAGACGCCAGUGGAUUUGAAUUAUCCAUUGGGCUCCAGGAAAAUGGCCUGGCUGAGUGGUCUUCCAGAUCGAUGGCUGCGAACCAGCUGCCACUUAGGCUUAAUUCAGACUUGGAGGGGAAUUUCACAUCCACUGAGGAAUCGUCUGAAGAAAACUUAAACAUGGUGGGACAGACAGAG